rnacentral:rRNA from 1 species
AUUAGAUACCCUAUUAUUCUUUAUUUUAAAAAUUUUAAUACUUAAGUAGUAAGAACUUAAAUGUAAUUUAUUUAAAUUUAUAUGAUGUUUGAAACUUAAAAGGCUUGGCGGUGUUAUAUAUCCUUCCAGGGGAGCUUGCUUAUUAAUUUGAUAAUCCUCAAUUUAUACUUACUUUUUUUUGAAUUGUUAACAAUUUGUGUAUUGCUGUCGUCAGUUUAUUUUGUAAAAAUUUUGGAAAAAACUUAAUAACUUAUCGGUUAUGAUGUCAAGUCAAAAUGCAGUUUAUGAAAAAGGUUCAAAAGUGAGCUACGAUUUAUAAUAUUUAAUCGGAUUAGACCAUGUAAUUUGUCUAUGAAGUUGGACUUGGUAGUAACAAGAGUUAAAUAGUGAGUUCUUGUGAAUUAGGUUUUAUGAUGCGUACACAUCGCCCG